AAUGUGGGCAGGCGGCGACUCGAGCGGCGUUGGGACGGCGGCGGCGGAGGCGGCGACUAGAGCUUGCAGGGGCUGGGGAGGCGGAUACAAAGGCGGGGGUCGCCGGAGUGCGGAUUCACGGGCGGAUCCAUGGCAUCCACGGUCCUGGGCAGAAAGGAGACGGUGAGGUGAGGGAGAGAAGAAGGAAGAAAGGAGGGGAUGUGCUGCGACCUAGGCAGGAGCUCACGGGAGUCGGGCGGAAGCGGGAGAUGGAGGGAUCCGGCAUGGCGGCGCGAAGUCCUUGCAGGUGGAGGCGGGCCUCCAUGGCUGGCAGGAAGAUCUCCAAGGCCAUGGCGGGUGCUGAGAAAUGUAGGAGAGGUGCCCUCCGUGGGGAUGGGGGAAGAUUGUCUACAGCAAGAGCAGACAAUGGAGGUGGAAGUAUGGAGAAGGAUGGGACGAUGUGCUUGCACUACUGCGACGGAGGGAAGGCGAAUUGAGUGUUUCAGAUACCAAAAGGAUUGUACAGUCAGACUGGAUGACAUUACGAUUGAAUUACCUUGCAUCAGGUAAUCUUGUGUUAUAUUGGCAUCAGGUAAUCUUCUGGCAUUACGACUGAAUUACAUUUGGUACUGGUUUUAUCUGCUGCUCAUAUUGUGCAGCUUAUCUUGUUCUUCUAUACACAGUUCAGAUUGAUGUUCUGAAGAUUGAAAUGUGUGUGCAGUGUCUUGGGCAGCCGAGCUCUUCCUAGGAGUAGUCACUUCAUGUCCAUCUAGGGCAUCCAAUCAUCCAUCUUGCUGGUCCAGAAUUUGUAUAAGACUGAACUAUGUAAGGUUCCAUUGUCUUGCAAUGGAGCCGAGGAGAGCCUCCCUUGUUUUCUAUAAGAAAAAGAAUUAAGUAUCCUUUCCUCAUCUCACAUAAGCAAGAGAAUACCGGCACACAUAUUCUAAGACUAUCUCCAAUAUUGUUUGAUUUGGAGCUCUUAGGUGCAAAAUUCACCAAAAUGAAUCACAAUGCAAAUGGUCCAGUCCCUUUUUAUUUUCAUGGAUCCGUUGUAUAUUGAUUUUUGCCUCAAAUGCUCUAUAACAAUCGUAUCGCUUGCUGGUGUAGCCAUCUAUCUCAGAGCAGCAGUUGGCAAACCAAAUCCAAGGUGCAAUCUUUUUCCGGUAACUAAUAUAGUGGCAUAUAGUAUUGUCUUAAAAACAUGAAUAAUUGGUCAUACCUAUCAUACCAAUCUUAGAAUAUGUUUUGAAUUCAGGUAAACUUAGGAACAUGUAUCUUGGUAGUUCGAACUUGAACUCUAUUUGGUCCUAAUAAGGCGAUAUGGUUACAUAGCUGAUUGACAUAUGCACAAUCAUUUUUUAAAGAAACAGAAAUAAAUAAAUUCAACAUUGAAUUAGUAGAACAUGAUGGUGUGUCAUGUUCCAUCCGUCCCUGGCUCGUUAACAUUGAAGGUGCCGUCUGCUAUGGUCAUCAGAGGCGUAGCUGCCCGUACUCAUCACAAGUUGUUGGCACUGGAUUUAUUAUGUAAACUCAAUGAUUUUGCUUGCUAGAUUUCCUUCAAUUUUUGACCCACAAUGAGGAGUAUUGCGAGGGCCUGGACAAACUUGAUUAAAUUAGUUUCUAUUUUGGUAUAGCUGGGACCAUCACUUUGGGAUGUUUUUCCAAUCUGCAUGUGCAAUUGUGCAUGACGAUCCUAAUUGUAUAUGUUGGACAUAUUCGUGUUGAGUAUAUGUUGAACGCAUGAUUGUUAAACCACUAUAAUAUGUAUACCCCGUUGCAACGCAUGAGCUCGAGGAGAAGAGGUAGGGAGAAGAAGGAAGGGUGCGGCAGGGGCGCAGCGAUGCAAGGGCGCUGGUCUUGUGCGCGUGGAGCAUCUCUCCUUGGGCGGUUGCGCUGGUUGGUUCGGCACGCAAAUGCCCACCUUGCCCACGUCCGACAACUCAUCGCCGGCGCGGAAGACAUGGACUCCUACCACAGAGAGCUCGCAUGCCCUGCAGCGGCUGGAACUGGCUGAAGGUCAUCCCGCAUCCUCGACUUCAUCCUUUCCUGCGCCCUCCUCCAUCCACGACCUCUGGUACACUACUUCUCCUCCCUGCCCUCUCCUUCCCAAUCCACCAUGUAAUUUCUCUGUUCGCAGUCUCGGCAAUCCUGAAUUUGGCUUGCUUCCCCUUCAUAGCAAGUACUCCGUCAGUUCUUAAAUAUAAGUCUUUUUAGAGAUUCUAAUUUGAACUUUAAAAUGAGUUAAUCUACACUCUAAAAUAUGUCUAUAUACAUCCGUAUGUAGCCCCUAUUGAAAUCUCUAAAAGUCUUAUAUUUAGAAACGAAGGGAGUACCAACUAGGACUUAUGCUACUCCCAGCUCGAGCUCCACAAGCACGUUACUCCAGGUCUACGUCCUCAAGGUAUGGAACUUACACUACCUCUCUGCACCAGUCGAUGGCCCUGGACUAGCUGUCCCAAUGGCCUUGUCGCCUCCCUCGAUCCCUCAUGUUUCCUUCCACGAUGUAACAGAUAUAGCAAUUUUUUUAUUUGUUGAGAGAUAAAUUUGCCGCAAUGUAAAUAGGCUAUGCUAGGAGUUCAGUUGCCCAGGGAACGAGAAUUUGUCCAUGAUACUCUGACUGAACCUAUUUUCAGGAUCACAACUAAUGUUUUCAGAUGUCACCUUAUGAAGUUGCUUCAUUGUUGACGAGUUAAUGUCUUAUGCAACCCUGCCAUCUACAAUUUGCCAGUCAGAAGGUGACCUGAAGCUUAAAAUAGAGAAAAUGACCAUGAGCUCUGUCAAGUAAGAGAUUUUCUAUAUCGAGAUGCCUUAGGCUCAUAGUCCCCUUUCUGUUCUCUACGUCCUUGCUCAUUGGUUAAUUCGGGACAACAGUUUGUCCGAUAAUCUAUGUUACUUUUCUGAGUUUAGAUUGUUGCCCCUUAGAAAUUUUUGAAUCAAUGCAUCAGAAUGGUUUCUUUGUUGUUUUAUGUGGAUAUGGAUUCUGGUCAUAUUUUUACGCAUUAAGGAUUUUGAGUGUGAUCUAUGUAGUCACUGAAACCUAAUGUGCAUAGUGUGUACAUGUAGCUAAUGUAUUUGAUUCUGAAAUAAAACAUAUUUUUCUUUAGAUUGUGUUCUUCCGAUUGCAUACAUGCAUACACCAUGUUUCUGUUUUGGUACCAGUAAAAAAAUGUUUAUUUUGAGAACGAUCGAGCAGUAAUUCCCAUCUGGAAGCAAAGAGCAUCCUCCUUGCACCGGUGCACUGGAUGACUACAUCAUACCACUUCUCUUAACCUGCGACUGGCUCUCUGCUAUGGGCAUAAGGGUCUGAUUACAUAACAUCAAGGUUUGACCAAUGUACCCAUUUGUUCUGAAAUUAGAUUAUAUAAGGGUUAUCAAAUUGUGAGAGAUUCGAGCCCAACGAUAAGAAGCAUUUGGAGCUGCAAAUGUGACAUUUAUUUCUUGAAAUACCUACAUCUUGUAUUAUGACUGGUUGUUCUUUUUGCAGGGCUUAGGACUAAUUCUAAUGAUGUUAAGCUUGAUAUAUAGGUAUGGCAACAGAGGUUGCUGGAUGUUAACUGGUAAUCACAAUGUAUCAGUAUUAAUUAUAUGCUAUUGUUUUUCUGGAUUCAAAGUAGUACAUUUUUGGGUAGAAAGACAAUACGACCUUUGUCUCUGAUGUAAUCAUUUUGCACUCAGUACGGUUGUGUUCCAUCCGGCAGGCUGCCUGCACAUGCAAUAAUUUGAUUAAGGAUGACACGAAUUUGGGAA